rnacentral:rRNA from 1 species
CCUACGGGAGGCAGCAGUGGGGAAUUUUGGACAAUGGGCGCAAGCCUGAUCCAGCAAUGCCGCGUGAGUGAAGAAGGCCUUCGGGUUGUAAAGCUCUUUUGUCAGGGAAGAAACGGUCUACUCUAAUACAGUGGGCUAAUGACGGUACCUGAAGAAUAAGCACCGGCUAACUACGUGCCAGCAGCCGCGGUAAUACGUAGGGUGCAAGCGUUAAUCGGAAUUACUGGGCGUAAAGCGUGCGCAGGCGGUUAUAUAAGUCAGAUGUGAAAUCCCCGGGCUCAACCUGGGAACUGCAUUUGAGACUGUAUGGCUAGAGUGUGUCAGAGGGGGGUAGAAUUCCACGUGUAGCAGUGAAAUGCGUAGAUAUGUGGAGGAAUACCGAUGGCGAAGGCAGCCCCCUGGGAUAACACUGACGCUCAUGCACGAAAGCGUGGGGAGCAAACAGGAUUAGAUACCCUGGUAGUCCACGCCCUAAACGAUGUCUACUAGUUGUCGGGACUUAAUUGUNUGUAGCAGCACGACGNGAGAGACGCCGCGGGUAAGGUACGGUCGUUCGAGAAGUUAAACGUUAAACGUAAGAAGUUAGUUACGGCGNGAGAGAGCGACGGACGACGACGAGGGAGGAGGAG